rnacentral:misc_RNA from 1 species
AAAGUCGUAACAAGGUAACCGUAGGUGAACCUGCGGUUGGAUCAUUAAUAAUUCAAAAGCCUCUCAUUGGUACCGCUGCAAAGCUGGGAAACAAUGAAUGUUGGCACCACAUCUUGUGAACUGUCAUGUCUUUGGUGGUUGGGCGAUCCGCUUGUUUCAAGCGUUCCGUCUGUCAGCUUGAGUUCAAACGCUCAAGCCGUGGACAAGCCACCGCCUGUUUAUUCAGACCUAUAUUGUCUUCUAUUUCUUUUGUCUAACAUUUUCUUGUAUAAACAUACAAACAACUUUUGGCAACGGAUCUCUUGGUUCUC